GAUGAACGCUGGCGGCGUGCCUAAUACAUGCAAGUCGAACGAACAGACGAUGCGCUUGCUCCUUUCACGUUAGCCGCGGACGGGUGAGUAACACGUGGAUAACCUACUUAUAAGACUGGUAUCACUUGGGGACACCGGAGCUAAUACCGUAUAAUCUAUUGAACCGCAUUGUUGAAUAGUAAAUGACGGUUUUGCUGUAACUUAUCGCUGCAUCCGCGCCGCAUUAGCUAGUUGGUAAGGUAACGGCUUACCAAGGCAACGAUGCGUAGCCGAUCGGCGAGGGGGGUCGGCCACCCGGGAACGGGACCACGGUCAAGACUCCUACGGGAGGCAGCAGAAGGGAACCUGCGGCAAUGGGCGAAAGCCUGACGGAGCAAGCCCGCGUGAGUGAGAAAGGUCUUGGGAUCGUAAGACUCUGUUUUUAGGGAAAAACAGAUGUGGAAGGAAAUAUGCACGUCGUGACGGUACCUAAUCAGAAAGCCACGGCUAACUACGUG
rnacentral:rRNA from 1 species